UACGUAGGGUGCAAGCGUUAAUCGGAAUUACUGGGCGUAAAGCGUGCGCAGGCGGCGCCGCAAGUCAGGCGUGAAAUCCCCGAGCUCAACUUGGGAAUUGCGCUUGAAACUACGGUGCUGGAGUAUGGCAGAGGGAGGUGGAAUUCCACGUGUAGCGGUGAAAUGCGUAGAUAUCUGGAGGAACACCGGUGGCGAAGGCGGCAUCCUGGACCGGCAUUGACGCUGAGGCGCGAAAGCCAGGGGAGCAAACGGG
rnacentral:rRNA from 1 species